UACGGAGGGGGCUAGCGUUGCUCGGAAUCACUGGGCGUAAAGCGCACGUAGGCGGAUUCUUAAGUCAGAGGUGAAAUCCUGGAGCUCAACUCCAGAACUGCCUUUGAUACUGGGGACCUUGAGUCCGGGAGAGGUGAGUGGAACUGCGAGUGUAGAGGUGAAAUUCGUAGAUAUGCGCAGGAACACCGGUGGCGAAGGCGGCUCACUGGCCCGGUACUGACGCUGAGGUGCGAAAGCGUGGGGAGCAAACAGG
rnacentral:rRNA from 1 species